rnacentral:lncRNA from 1 species
AUUUUUGUAAGUAUAAGUUAAAAGAUCUACACGUUAACAUGUAUAACAUAUUAGAUGAACUUUUAAUUAAUGUUCAGUCAAUGUAAUAUAAAAUAGAUUUUCAAUAUAAUGCUGAAAUUGAUUAAAAUUUAUAUAAAACAAUAUCAGUGUUAUCGAAACUUGCUUUUAGCCUUUUUAUACUGUAAAGCCUUGUAUAUAGAAUAAUAAAAUUAAACAACAAUUAAAAUUAACUGAAAUCAAUGGGAGUUUACUUGCUUGAUAGAAAGAUGUAACAAUCAUCUUAUUUUAAGGAGCCUGAAAAUGAGUUUCCAUUACAAAUAAACUUUAUAAGAUUGUUAGUUUUUGCAGUGUAAAACAAGGUGAUUGGUGUGGUCAAGAAGAGAAAUGUCUUUGAAUCUGUUGGCUUUUAACAGAAUGAAGAUGUCAAUGUGAGGCGAGAUUGUGUCUGUGUAGAUUGAGCUGUCUGAGCAUCUACCUCAAUGAAGACCUGGACACACUUGUUAAAGAAUAUGUGGUAUGUAUCAGAAUAGUGUGCCAGUAAUUUUUCCAUCUUGAUAAUAUGGAUUGUUCAUGAGAAUGGAAUGGACAUUAGGACACAUUGACCACCAGUAUUUCAACAUUGAGUCCAUUGGGUUGUUUUGAAUAAAAAAAAUCAUGCAAGGUAAAUGGUGGUAGAGCUGUCACUCUGAGGGAAUUAAAUCCGCUUGGUCCAGAGGAACCUGAAGAUGAAGUUGUCUGGGUUCUGGCACCCACAUGCCCCUUCUCCGCCAGAAACAACAAUCCUCGCCUAAACAACAAGGAUGCAUGUUCUGGACUGUCUGCUUACGAACUCAAGCGCCUUGAGAACAUCACGCACAAGGAAGCCUUCUUGUCGUCUCUGAAGAUAUGGCAAGUAUGUGGACAUUUUAGUAAAGGUAAAGGACUAAUCAGCUGUUUUCCAUUUCAUUUGCCCUCUCCCUACCUCAGUCUCCACCCUACUCUCCUCUUAGUCUCUUUUUCUCUCCCUCCUGCUCUUUCACUGUUGUCCCCCACUGUACGGUCCUUCUCUCCUUCUCCUUUCUUUCUUUUGUAUUCACUUGUUAUCUUACAGGUGUAACAUAGAUUUUAAAAAUAUAUAAAAUUAGAUUUUGGUGGGUUCUUGUAUUUUUUUUAACAAUGUAGUUUACAAAAUAAUGUAAUUUCUGUCUUCAUCCAUUAGCACACCUUUUAGUAUAAUUAUGGUUGCUGUCUAUACAGAAAAACAAGGAGAUAAUUAUUCUUCUUUGUCUCGCCCGCUCUCUCUCUCUCUCUCUCUCUCUCUCUCUCUCUCUCUCUCUCUCUCUCUCUCUCUCUCUCUCUCUCUCAAAAGGUAGUGGAGGAUCUGAGGCAGUCAGUGAAGCCAAAGCCCAAUGUCAAAAGGUAAAUAAAGCAGUACAAUUAAAAGCAUGGAUCUUUUUACUGUUGGGGCUAAUGGAUGUGGAGUAAACUCUAUCGUUUUAUGUAAUGAUAGGAGCUUUAUAGCAGUAAGUGACGUCAUGGUGCACCUGCGGUUUAUUAGAGUAAUUUCAUUGGAAGAAACCGCUUCAUCAGGAUGGAACUCUUAAAGGGAUAGUUCACCCAAAAAUGAAAAGUUUGUCAUCAAUUACUCACCUUCGUGUUGUUCCAAACCUGUAUCACCUCCAUUCAUCUUUGGAACACAAAUUAAGAUAUUUUGGAUUUAAUCUGAGAGCUUUCUGAUCCUCCCAUAGACAUCACUGAAAAUGCACAUUUAAAGUCCACAAACAUAAAGUCUUUAUUUUUAUAAUUUUUUCAGCCAAAAAGUAUUCUUGUUGCUUUAUCAUGUUAAAAUUGAGUGACCCAUGUCACAUGGACUACAUUAACUAUGUUUUUAGUAGGUUUGUGUAAUUUGAAUGUGCACUUUCAGUGGUGUCUGUGAGAGGAUCAGAUCCAAAAUAUCUUAAUUUGUGUUCUAAAGAUAAACAGAGCUGAUAUGGAUUUGGAACAACACGAGGGUGAGUAAAAAUUUUAUUUUUGGGUAAGUUUCAGGCUUGAUGGACAUACUACACUCAUCCUGACUUGAUUGUCAGAUUAUAAAUUGUUACAUUGGCAGAAAGGUGCACAGCAUUCAUGAGAAGCGUCUCCAUUUUUAGUUAACUUUUUUGAACUGCAUUUUUUUGUGGCAGGUUAAUGGCUUCAUUGGAAGAAAAAUCUCUGCAGUCUCCCCGGAAAUCCCUCCGUUUUAAAAUAAAAAACCUCACCCCAAGUGAAGGGUUGACCCAUAAUCAAGUGAGAACAAGACUAAUACUUGUAUAAUUUUCAGAUAUUAUAAUGUUGUUGUUGUUGUUACAUUAAUAGGAAAUUGCACAACUGGAGAUAAAAUGCAUUGUGUUGUUGUUAACUUAUUAUCCACAGCCUUGUGACUUUUAUUUUUCCAGGCUUUUAGGGGGUGAUCAGGUCUUAAGGUCAUUAUCCUGAACUUGCAUCCAUUCCGUUCUCAUGAAUGCAUAUAUGCUGUCUGCUUUAAUGAAAAGAUCUACGUAUGUGUGCGUGCAUGCGUGUGUGUGUAAUAUUAUAAGUGUGUGUUUAUACAUUCCAGGACAUUGAAUCCAGAGAGGCAGAGGAAGACAUGGCAGGAAACACCAUGGGCAUCUACAAAGUACAAUCAGAGGAUCAUGGUCAAGGUGAUGGACGCUUCACUGAUGUCCGUGUUGUGCUGGAAGGUGUGGAGGUUCUCCACAACCUGCAGAGUGUCACUCAUGCAUGGGUUAUGUUAUAUGGCCUGAUCUACGCACUCAAUUUGAACUACCCUAAAAGCCUGAAGUGUACAUUUUGAGGUGUACCAGAAAAUCCUGAUGGACCUGGACUCAACCAAGCUUUCCCCGAAAGUACAGACACUGAAACUGAAAUUGCUCCAGUGAUUUGGCUAAAAAUAAUAACUUAUACAGCCCCUACCCAUUUUUUUUUCACAUUGUGCUCCAACCCAGAGAUAUGUUAAAAUGAUUUCCUAGUUCUAUAAUGAUAUGUUAAUUAGCAACUGAAAAUGGAUCUCUGAGUACAGUUUUAUUUUUUAUUAAAUUUUUUUUUUGGGUGUCCAAGCAGUAUUGUGAUGUUCGAGUGUGGCUGUGUAAGUGGGUUCAUAUGGAUGGUUUCCUAAAUGUUGGCUGAUGUUAACUUGGCUAAAUCCAGAGUUUUGUAUGAAAGACAAAUAUAAAUAAAUCUGGAAUUUUCCAGUUGGUCUAAUUCAAUGUGAUGCAUUGUUUGAUUUGGUUUAGUAUAUAAGCAUACAUUAAACAUGAUUCAAAUAAAUGUUAUUUAUAUUUUUUAGUUACCCCGAUUUAGUUCUC